GGCAUUUAACCAGGGCAACAGCCACGGCGCCGCGAAGUAGAGAGACCGAGGCGAGCUCUCCCUCUCCCGCGUCUCCCGCUGCCUCUCGCUGUCCCUCCAUUCUUGCCCUUCGCCGUUCUACUCUCCGCCUGUUGACUGCUUCGGAGGCCGAUCGCACUUCACCGAUCAUCCGCCUUCUCGGAGGAGCGCCGCUUUUCUGGGAAUAGAAUGGACCAGUAUGAGAAGGUGGAAAAGAUUGGGGAGGGGACUUACGGGGUGGUGUACAAGGCUCGGGAUCGUCUCACUAACGAGACGAUAGCUCUGAAGAAGAUCCGGCUGGAGAAUGAAGACGAGGGGGUUCCAAGUACUGCCAUAAGAGAGAUCUCUCUGCUGAAAGAAAUGCAGCACAGCAACAUUGUCAGAUUGCAGGAUGUAGUCCACAGCGACAAACGAAUUUAUUUAGUUUUUGAGUAUCUUGACUUAGACUUGAAGAAGCACAUGGACUCUUGCCCAGAACUUGCUAAAGAUCCACGAUUAGUUAAAACUUAUUUGUAUCAAAUGCUUCGUGGUAUUGCCUACUGUCAUUCUCAUAGGGUUCUUCAUCGAGAUCUGAAGCCUCAAAAUCUUUUGAUUGAUCGAAGAACUAAUGCAUUGAAGCUUGCAGACUUUGGGCUUUCUAGAGCUUUUGGCAUUCCAGUUCGGACAUUCACACAUGAGGUAGUAACGCUUUGGUAUAGAGCUCCAGAAAUCCUCCUUGGAUCCAGACAAUAUUCUACACCUGUUGAUGUGUGGUCAGUGGGCUGUAUUUUUGCUGAAAUGGUGAAUCAGCAACCAUUGUUCCCUGGUGACUCAGAGAUUGAUGAAUUGUUUAAGAUAUUCAGAAUCUUGGGUACCCCAAAUGAAGAAACUUGGCCUGGAGUUACUUCCUUACCUGACUUCAAGUCUGCUUUUCCCAAGUGGCAAUCUAAGGAUCUGGCAACAGUGGUUCCUAAUCUUGGAGCUCCAGGGAUUGAUCUUCUCUCUAUUCUACGAGUUCAAGCUUGUCUUCAAUUAUGAAAUUCCAGAAAUAGGUUGCUGAUCUUCCUAGUUGUUGGGACGAUAUCUAUUUAAAUAAAGAGAAUGCUCAUUUUAGACCCCAGUAAGAGAAUCUCAGCUCGUCAGGCUUUGGAGCACGAGUACUUCAAUGAUCUUGGACUGGUGCCAUGAGCAAUAUUGGUUAAUACAUCGAAAUUUUGCAGCCGUUUUUACCUCUCUGCCAUGGUUUCUGUUAUAAUCAUCAAUAGUUUCUCUACUUGAAGCUUGCUAGCAUUCUUCGCCGGACAGGAUCUGUGUCUCGAACUAAAAGAUCUCCAUUGGCACAAAGAUGUGGCUCACUCCACCUGUUCUUCAGCCAAGAGAAAAGUUUGACUCCACUUCUGUAUCUCUGUGUGAGACUAAUAUAUUUCUUUGAACCUAUACUUGACCUUUUCAUAUAAGCAUAUUCACUGUGUGGUUGAAGUA